GUCAGGUCUAAGCUAGAGCUGAAUCAGCUGCAGGUAGGAGAUAAAAGGCACAAUCCAUACCCCACUGAAGUGAAUUGAAUGCUUCCCAGCAGAUCUAAGGCUUUAAUAUUUGCCAAAAGAUUUUGAUUGUGUGUGGUAAGAUUUUUUUAUUUUUAUUUUUAAUUUCAGUAAUUAUUAGAAACAUCAUUCAUUUACAUAUGUUUAUAAAAGAAGAAAUGUGUUGUGGAAGUCACUGUGUUGAUGCCAGAUCUUGGUGCCUAAGCCCUGGGUGUUUUGGAGAGUCCAAAAGCGCCUGUUACCUUGUGAGGCUGUGCUCAUCAAUACUUGUCACUUCCUCUGCGCCCUGCAGCCCAGCCAAGCCCUGUGGAUUUGAACCAGAUUAUAUCAUCUUACUUACACUGUGAGACAAGAAUAAUUAUUGAAAAUUAAGAGCUCUACAGCUCUGAGACACCACCUGUACCUGUGGAAAAGGGCUUUAAUCCUACACUGCAUCCUCAGUGCAGGUUUGGAGUGAUUUCGCACAAGAUCGUCCACCUUCUCUGUGCUGCUGUUUGUUAUUGAGCAAAGCAUCAAGUAGCAGGUUUGAUUUCUUAAAGAGAUGCAUUUUUCUUUUGACAAAAGUGGAACUGUUUGGU
rnacentral:lncRNA from 1 species